rnacentral:misc_RNA from 1 species
GUGUUGUAUUUCUAUGGUGAGCGAGGUAGCCAGAACUUAGUGUGUUUUAGGCCUCCGUUGGCUACGGUAGCCGCUUACUAUCAGGUGCAAUGCUAGCGGUCUUGUCGGCCUAGUGAUAUUAAAAUAUAUCAAACCAAGCAGAUUUAGUGUUCAAACUUUACUAUGGUUCAUGAACACAUAACCUGUACAUGGUUUUGAACUUACAAAAAUAAUUGUGUUUGCUCGCAAA